CUUUUCUCCCGUUAUUGGCUUAGGCACGUUAAGGGAAGGAUCCAGUUUCUCCCAUGUGGUCAACUCCCAGAUGCCUCCGUCGUUCUUCCCUGCUGUCCAUCCUGGAGGAGGAGGAAGAGGAGAAACGUCCCGUCCCACACCCCGCCUGGCCCACCUGUCAGUCCACCCUCGAAGUCGAAAAGCAUCGGCUCGUUGUCCUCGAUGAUCUUGACGCCGUCCAACUGAAUGCUGCUCACGGCCACGGAGUUCUUCAUGUCGCCUCCGAGAGAAGCCUCUGUAGUGGGGAGGAUAAAAAUGGUGAUAAGUAUAAUAAUUUUUCCAGU